rnacentral:rRNA from 1 species
UGACCUUCGGUCAGGUAGGAAUACCCGCUGAACAUAAGCAUAUCA